rnacentral:rRNA from 1 species
GACGAACGCUGGCGGCGUGCCUAAUACAUGCAAGUAGAACGCACAGUUUAUACCGUAGCUUGCUACACCAUAAACUGUGAGUUGCGAACGGGUGAGUAACGCGUAGGUAACCUGCCUGGUAGCGGGGGAUAACUAUCGGAAACGAUAGCUAAUACCGCAUAAUAUUGAUUAUUGCAUGAUAAUUGAUUGAAAGAUGCUAUUGCAUCACUGCCAGAUGGACCUGCGUUGUAUUAGCUAGUAGGUGAGGUAACGGCUCACCUAGGCGACGAUACAUAGCCGACCUGAGAGGGUGAUCGGCCACACUGGGACUGAGACACGGCCCAGACUCCUACGGGAGGCAGCAGUAGGGAAUCUUCGGCAAUGGACGAAAGUCUGACCGAGCAACGCCGCGUGAGUGAAGAAGGUUUUCGGAUCGUAAAGCUCUGUUGUAAGAGAAGAACGGGUGUGAGAGUGGAAAGUUCACACUGUGACGGUAUCUUACCAGAAAGGGACGGCUAACUACGU